GGGUUGUGAGGUUAAGCGACUAAGCGUACACGGUGGAUGCCCUGGCAGUCAGAGGCGAUGAAGGACGUGCUAAUCUGCGAUAAGCGUCGGUAAGGUGAUAUGAACCGUUAUAACCGGCGAUUUCCGAAUGGGGAAACCCAGUGUGUUUCGACACACUAUCAUUAACUGAAUCCAUAGGUUAAUGAGGCGAACCGGGGGAACUGAAACAUCUAAGUACCCCGAGGAAAAGAAAUCAACCGAGAUUCCCCCAGUAGCGGCGAGCGAACGGGGAGGAGCCCAGAGCCUGAAUCAGUGUGUGUGUUAGUGGAAGCGUCUGGAAAGGCGCGCGAUACAGGGUGACAGCCCCGUACACAAAAAUGCACAUACUGUGAGCUCGAUGAGUAGGGCGGGAGACGUGGUAUCCUGUCUGAAUAUGGGGGGACCAUCCUCCAAGGCUAAAUACUCCUGACUGACCGAUAGUGAACCAGUACCGUGAGGGAAAGGCGAAAAGAACCCCGGCGAGGGGAGUGAAAAAGAACCUGAAACCGUGUACGUACAAGCAGUGGGAGCCUCUUUUAUGGGGUGACUGCGUACCUUUUGUAUAAUGGGUCAGCGACUUAUAUUCUGUAGCAAGGUUAACCGAAUAGGGGAGCCGAAGGGAAACCGAGUCUUAACUGGGCGUUAAGUUGCAGGGUAUAGACCCGAAACCCGGUGAUCUAGCCAUGGGCAGGUUGAAGGUUGGGUAACACUAACUGGAGGACCGAACCGACUAAUGUUGAAAAAUUAGCGGAUGACUUGUGGCUGGGGGUGAAAGGCCAAUCAAACCGGGAGAUAGCUGGUUCUCCCCGAAAGCUAUUUAGGUAGCGCCUCGUGAAUUCAUCUCCGGGGGUAGAGCACUGUUUCGGCAAGGGGGUCAUCCCGACUUACCAACCCGAUGCAAACUGCGAAUACCGGAGAAUGUUAUCACGGGAGACACACGGCGGGUGCUAACGUCCGUCGUGAAGAGGGAAACAACCCAGACCGCCAGCUAAGGUCCCAAAGUCAUGGUUAAGUGGGAAACGAUGUGGGAAGGCCCAGACAGCCAGGAUGUUGGCUUAGAAGCAGCCAUCAUUUAAAGAAAGCGUAAUAGCUCACUGGUCGAGUCGGCCUGCGCGGAAGAUGUAACGGGGCUAAACCAUGCACCGAAGCUGCGGCAGCGACGCUUAUGCGUUGUUGGGUAGGGGAGCGUUCUGUAAGCCUGUGAAGGUGUACUGUGAGGUAUGCUGGAGGUAUCAGAAGUGCGAAUGCUGACAUAAGUAACGAUAAAGCGGGUGAAAAGCCCGCUCGCCGGAAGACCAAGGGUUCCUGUCCAACGUUAAUCGGGGCAGGGUGAGUCGACCCCUAAGGCGAGGCCGAAAGGCGUAGUCGAUGGGAAACAGGUUAAUAUUCCUGUACUUGGUGUUACUGCGAAGGGGGGACGGAGAAGGCUAUGUUGGCCGGGCGACGGUUGUCCCGGUUUAAGCGUGUAGGCUGGUUUUCCAGGCAAAUCCGGAAAAUCAAGGCUGAGGCGUGAUGACGAGGCACUACGGUGCUGAAGCAACAAAUGCCCUGCUUCCAGGAAAAGCCUCUAAGCAUCAGGUAACAUCAAAUCGUACCCCAAACCGACACAGGUGGUCAGGUAGAGAAUACCAAGGCGCUUGAGAGAACUCGGGUGAAGGAACUAGGCAAAAUGGUGCCGUAACUUCGGGAGAAGGCACGCUGAUAUGUAGGUGAAGCGACUUGCUCGUGGAGCUGAAAUCAGUCGAAGAUACCAGCUGGCUGCAACUGUUUAUUAAAAACACAGCACUGUGCAAACACGAAAGUGGACGUAUACGGUGUGACGCCUGCCCGGUGCCGGAAGGUUAAUUGAUGGGGUUAGCGGUAACGCGAAGCUCUUGAUCGAAGCCCCGGUAAACGGCGGCCGUAACUAUAACGGUCCUAAGGUAGCGAAAUUCCUUGUCGGGUAAGUUCCGACCUGCACGAAUGGCGUAAUGAUGGCCAGGCUGUCUCCACCCGAGACUCAGUGAAAUUGAACUCGCUGUGAAGAUGCAGUGUACCCGCGGCAAGACGGAAAGACCCCGUGAACCUUUACUAUAGCUUGACACUGAACAUUGAGCCUUGAUGUGUAGGAUAGGUGGGAGGCUUUGAAGUGUGGACGCCAGUCUGCAUGGAGCCGACCUUGAAAUACCACCCUUUAAUGUUUGAUGUUCUAACGUUGGCCCCUGAUCGGGGUUGCGGACAGUGUCUGGUGGGUAGUUUGACUGGGGCGGUCUCCUCCUAAAGAGUAACGGAGGAGCACGAAGGUUGGCUAAUCCUGGUCGGACAUCAGGAGGUUAGUGCAAUGGCAUAAGCCAGCUUGACUGCGAGCGUGACGGCGCGAGCAGGUGCGAAAGCAGGUCAUAGUGAUCCGGUGGUUCUGAAUGGAAGGGCCAUCGCUCAACGGAUAAAAGGUACUCCGGGGAUAACAGGCUGAUACCGCCCAAGAGUUCAUAUCGACGGCGGUGUUUGGCACCUCGAUGUCGGCUCAUCACAUCCUGGGGCUGAAGUAGGUCCCAAGGGUAUGGCUGUUCGCCAUUUAAAGUGGUACGCGAGCUGGGUUUAGAACGUCGUGAGACAGUUCGGUCCCUAUCUGCCGUGGGCGCUGGAGAACUGAGGGGGCUGCUCCUAGUACGAGAGGACCGGAGUGGACGCAUCACUGGUGUUCGGGUUGUCAUGCCAAUGGCACUGCCCGGUAGCUAAAUGCGGAAGAGAUAAGUGCUGAAAGCAUCUAAGCACGAAACUUGCCCCGAGAUGAGUUCUCCCUGAGACUUUAAGUCUCCUGAAGGAACGUUGAAGACGACGACGUUGAUAGGCCGGGUGUGUAAGCGCAGCGAUGCGUUGAGCUAACCGGUACUAAUGAACCGUGAGGCUUAACCUUACAACGCCGAAG
rnacentral:rRNA from 1 species